CUCAUUGUGCCAGGAAACCAAGGUCCACAGAGGCUAAAGCUUUGCCAAGGUUACAGUAUUGUAAGAAAAUAGAAGAGUGUGAUUUACAGUUGGUGUGGCCCUAUGGGUGUGGACCCAGACUUCAAGCACAGAUUAAGAUCAUACACUGAUUUACCACAUCAGAUAGGCUGUAUGAAACCUUAGGAUAGUAUUUCUCUCCUACUGGUGGAAGCAAGAAGAAUUGAAGAACAAGGCAAAAACUCUGACAGGAAACUAAAGUGCUUAUAUGUUGCUGUCUCAUUAAUAUUGACCUUUAUUGGAGAUCAGAUUACUUUCCAGAAGUUUUAUAAUAUCACAUAAGUUACUUGAGGACUUCUGAAGAAAUGUCUUAGGUCUUUCUGCUUCUAGAAUAGAUUAUAAGAGCUUGAACAAAAAAUGUGUAAAUUUGCUGUCCGUUUUAUUGGUGGGAAAAGUGUGCUUUUUAAUAGGCCUUUAUGUAUUUAAUGUUCUUAAGUAGCAUAUCCAAAACUUUAUUUCAGGAUAUUAGAAUCCACUUAAUUUGGGGCUGGCAAUGUGGAGAAAAUUGUGAUAAUUUAUCUGCCAAAGAUUUCUGCAAGCAUGUAUUUUGGGAAAAGUAGCCCUAAAAGUAAUAGACACAUUUCAGUAUUUAAUGCUUUUUCUCAUCACCAACACUUAGAAUGAAAGCAUGUCUUCUCUUUUCCUGGUCAUUUAAAGAGGCAUACAAAGUAGUAAAAACAGGUCAUAGAAUGAUAGACACUCAUUAUGAGAUCUGUUCUCAGUCUUGCUGCUAGUUAACUGUGGCCUUAAGUCAGUCACUUACAACCCCUUGCAUAUCAUAGAUUAUUCAUCAUUAUAAGGGGAGAUAAGAGUGCAGGACUUCUAAGAAGGCCUUUUCCAGUUCAUAUACUUCAGACAUGUAAUUCUGAUUCUAUGUGUGGUUACAGAUUGUUUAGCUAAUUUUAAAAUACAAGCAAAAGGAUUGCAUGUCUAUUUGUAGAUGUACAAAGGAACCAUUUAUAGAAGGAGAUUGUGGACAGUGUUCUAGUGUAGGCGCCAGACUCUAAAAGUACAUAAGAAACUAACUUUGGGAGGGGCACUGGGAGUGUGGAUUCAGAGAAAUCUUAACAUGGAUAUUAGUGAAGUCAAGCUCACAUUGGAGGACUUUCAUCUUCUCAGUGAACUGGGAAACAAGGUUAUUGACUGACUGUAAAGGUUCUGGGGUAGGUUUGAAAUUUACAGAGAGUAGAAAAUACUUAUAUCAGCCAUAGUGACAAAUUUUCUAGGGACUCAUGUAUAAACAAAGAGAACAAGUAGGUGUGGCUGGAAAGAUGACCAAAUAGGAACAGCUCUGAUCUGCAGCUCCCAGCAAGAUCAACACAGAAG